GUUGGAGCACCAGCCAGCCUUGCAGCGAGGCUGGAGGAUGCUGUGCUCAUGCAGGAUCCAUUGCGGCCCUUUCACAUCCCCAUGCAUAACCCUCAGCUGGGCCACAUGUGGGACGCAUUAACGCAGCUGCAGAUGGGGAGCCUUUCCAAAGAGCUCUCCUCCUUCCUCAGCCUGGGUCCCAGGAGCAGCGAGUGGAGUCGGAGCAUUUCCAGGGGGUAUCACUGCUAAAGAUGGCCUGGACAUUACAUCUGCACAGCGAUGGGAGGACACCACGAGAGCCCAGCUCUGUGAACCCUCAGUGUCACCUACCAACCACAAGUGAGCCUCUGCAUGACAGCAAGACCCCAAAACCAAUAGCAGUGGGCAAGGAAAUUCAGAGAAAGGCAGGAAGAAGGAACCAAAUGUGAGAUCAAGACAGGAAGAUGUGUCCUGCUCAUUUCAUUUGCAUUUCUGUAGCCCAGAGCAGGGAGAGGAGAGCUCUGGCUCCUCACCAUCAGGCAGAAUGAUCAGACAGCAGCAGAAGGAAAGUCCCAAAGAGCAUGAAGAGACAAGAAACUCCUCCUGAACCUGCAAGGGAGAAAAAUGUGGGUUUAUCUGAAUUUCAGCAAAGGGAGAACAUUUCGACAAGAAAUAUGUCUUUAUUGUCUCUCACAUAUGAGGGCACAGAAGCAGGCAAGAAGCCUGUCUGCUGAUUUUCCCCUGAAGUCCUGCUGCCCACUCUGGCAGCCCCAUCUCACCGCCUGCCCAGUGCCUCCCAUCAUCGAGCAGGAGCUGCCUUCUGAGCCCAGCACCAACAAAAUCAGCUUGGAGGAGGCACAUCCUUGUUCCCCCUCGAGGCGGCAGGACACUGGCGAUGCUGGAGGCAAUGCCCACCUCCGUUCCUUCUCCUCGCUCCAUGCGAUUACCGAGCGGCACUGGCCGGCUGAAUUAAUGCUCGAGUGUUCCCCAUCAAAAAUGUUCUAUGGGAGUGCAAAGCACUAA
rnacentral:lncRNA from 1 species